CCAGGUCCUGGAGGGUCUGGCGCUGGAAGCUUCUGGGGUGCGCAGCUUGGGCUUGGCACACGCUGGGAAGUAAGUCCGGGACUUCCGCCCUCGGCAAAGUGAGCCAGGCAGGCCUUCGAUGGACCCAAGGCUUCAGCGACUUCGGAGUGGAGGCCUUGCCUGAGCGCCCUGGUGAAAGCGGCCUAAUGAAGGCGGGUGGAGGUCCCUGCCAGAACCCCCAGCCACAAACCGGGAGAAGCAGCGGAAGGACAUUCCCUUAGAGAAGUUACGUUUGUGGACAAGCCUGCGCUUCAGAAACCACAGAUGUGCCACCGUCCAAACCGGUGUCCCCACUUUCACUGAGCGCGCUUCCAGCCCUUGCUCUUUCUAGAGAGAAAAGGAGGACGCUCCAGGAUUCGUUUUCCUCACCCACGGCCUCCGAGGCCCGAGGUGUUCCCUUCCUCCUUUGUGUAGGAGUCGGAUGUGUGUCUGGUAGGAACGCUGCCAGCCUGAGUGCCCUGGGCAAGGCUGAAGGGGCAGUCGAUCCCAGGUCAAUCCCAGGUCAAUGAAGUGAUUCAUUCCCAUAACUUCCCAGUAGAUGGAUCAGGAAGAUCCGGGAGAAUCCUUCCAACAAAAACUGCUGUGCUUGUCUUUGUCACCAGGAUAAUUAAAAGUGCUAAAAGGAAAAAAGGGAAACAGAAGCCUAACCAGCAGUCCGUGAAUGCAUCUAUAAGACAACAGACUCAGCUCGGAGGAGGCUGGCCCCUGGUCUUUUCCCAGGCUGAGUAAGAACCUUCUAUGCCAGAGCUGACCCAAGGAUGUGCUACUCUGGACCACACAGGAAAACUUCCUUUGUCCCAAACUCUACUCAUUCACACAGCAAUCAGACUCUAUCAGAAUCCUGCAUUUUGCUAAAUCAUUCCUUUCGUUAUAGUUCUUCCAAGAAUGUGAGUAUCCCCAUAUAAUACAUUUGACUUUGGAGUUCCCGUCGUGGCUCAGCAGUUAACAACCCAACUAGUAAC